AAUACCAAAAUUUCCGAUUUCACCCUCCAUCAAUCAUCACCGACACAACUAACCCUUAGGUUUCCGAUGAUCUCAAAAUCAAGUAUUCAAUGCCCUUAAUGUCAAAUUUUAGCGGAACCGGGACCGGAACCGCCGGUUUAGAUCACUUGAUAUUCCGGUUUGCCAGCUCAGCAGCCACGUGUCAUGGGUUCUGGCGUGAUGUGGCACUUGUAUUGCCGUCGGCUUUGUUUGUAGUGUACUUAGGGUUUCAUGGUAGGAGCAAUGUUAAGAAGCUUAGUCAUCGUCGGUCGUAUGUUAUGAUUGGAUACUAUGGUGUUUUAUGGUUUGCUGCUCUUUUAAAUCUUGCUUGGUGCUUUCUUCAGGUAUGGCAGUGCACUCCAGGGAAGCAGGUGGCUUGGAUUGUUCUGUCAAUGUUUGCAACGUCUUCAAUGUUAUUUCUGGAGAUUAGCAUAGUGGCGUUCUUACUUAGGGAGAACUAUGCGAGCUGUUUGGAGACUUUAGCACGUACAUUCAUGGUUUCAGGUCUUUUUGUUGGCGUGGAUUUACUGUUAAAGGUAAUUUUCAUAUUUGGAUUUGGUGUUCCGCUUUUCCUUGACGUGGAAAUAGCUGAUAGGGGGAAGUGGGGCGUCUGGUUCACCCACAAGCUGCUUCUUGUUACAGCUUAUGGCUACAUAUUAUUUGUGCAUUUCUCUAAGUGGAGAGAUAAGCUGCCCCCACGACCAGCCUUCUACAAUUAUGUCAUUGUCAUGUUUGCAGCAACUGCUGUGAUGUUAUUUGCCUGUGGGCUUGCAGGCAUUGGGGCUCACUUUGGACUUUGGUUGUAUAAUUUGGCAGUAGUUUGUUAUCACUCCCUUUAUCUUCCUUUUCUUUAUGUAACUUUCCUGGCUGAUUUUUUCAAGGAGGAAGAUUGGCUUCUGGACAGUGCAUACUACUCAGAGAUGAAGGAUGCAGGAUUUUUUGAUGCAGACUGGGAGUAAGCUUGUAAAACUGGUAGAAAAAUAAGCCAUUCGACUGUGUAAUUGUAAAUAUUAACUGGCAGCAGAGGCGGAUCCAGGAUUUAAAUUUUAUGGGUUCAAUCUAUCGAUUUUUAGCAUUGAACCCAUUAUAUUUUUAAAGUUAGGGGUUCAUAUCUA